UAAGGAAUAUUGGUCAAUGGACGCAAGUCUGAACCAGCCAUGCCGCGUGAAGGAUGAAGGUCCUCUGGAUUGUAAACUUCUUUUAUCUGGGACGAAAACGGGAUUUUUAUCUCAAUUGACGGUACCAGAGGGAUAAGCACCGGCUAACUCCGUGCCAGCAGCCGCGGUAAUACGGAGGGCGCGAGCGUUAUCCGGAUUUACUGGGUUUAAAGGGUGCGUAGGUGGGCUUAUAAGUCAGUGGUGAAAUCUCCGAGCUUAACUUGGAAACUGCCGUUGAUACUAUAGGUCGUGAAUUAUCUGGAGGUAAGCGGAAUAUGUCAUGUAGCGGUGAAAUGCUUAGAUAUGACAUAGAACACCAAUUGCGAAGGCAGCUUACUACAUAUAAAUUGACGCUGAGGCACGAAAGCGUGGGGAUCAAACA
rnacentral:rRNA from 1 species